rnacentral:rRNA from 1 species
AUUGAACGCUGGCGGCAGGCCUAACACAUGCAAGUCGAGCGGAUGAAGGGAGCUUGCUCCUGGAUUCAGCGGCGGACGGGUGAGUAAUGCCUAGGAAUCUGCCUGGUAGUGGGGGAUAACGUCCGGAAACGGGCGCUAAUACCGCAUACGUCCUGAUGGAGAAAUUGGGGGAUCUUCGGACCUCACGCUAUCAGAUGAGCCUAGGUCGGAUUAGCUAGUUGGUGGGGUAAAGGCCUACCAAGGCGACGAUCCGUAACUGGUCUGAGAGGAUGAUCAGUCACACUAGAACUGAGACACGGUCCAGAAUCCUACGGGAGGCAGAAGUGGGGAAUAUUGGACAAUGGGAGAAAGCCUGAUCCAGCCAUGCCGCGUGUGUGAAGAAGGUAUUCGGAUUGUAAAGCACUUUAAGUUGGGAGGAAGGGCAGUAAGUUAAUACCUUGCUGUUUUGACGUUACCAACAGAAUAAGCACCGGCUAACUUCGUG